CCUACGGGUGGCUGCAGUGGGGAAUAUUGGACAAUGGACGAAAGCCUGAUCCAGCCAUGCCGCGUGUGUGAAGAAGGCCUUCGGGUUGUAAAGCACUUUCAGUGGGGAAGAAAGCCUUGGGGCUAAUACCCUCGAGGAAGGACAUCACCCACAGAAGAAGCACCGGCUAACUCCGUGCCAGCAGCCGCGGUAAUACGGAGGGUGCGAGCGUUAAUCGGAAUUACUGGGCGUAAAGCGCGCGUAGGCGGUCUGAUAAGCCGGUUGUGAAAGCCCCGGGCUCAACCUGGGAACGGCAUCCGGAACUGUCAGGCUAGAGUGCAGGAGAGGAAGGUAGAAUUCCCGGUGUAGCGGUGAAAUGCGUAGAGAUCGGGAGGAAUACCAGUGGCGAAGGCGGCCUUCUGGACUGACACUGACGCUGAGGUGCGAAAGCGUGGGUAGCAAACAGGAUUAGAUACCCCAGUAUC
rnacentral:rRNA from 1 species